CCCAUCUUGGCCUCCAAAUAGCUGGGACUACAGGCAUGCACCACCAUACCCGCUAAUUUUUGGGGGUUUUUUUGAGACGGAGUCUCACUCUUUCACCCAGGCUGGAGUGCAGUGGCACAAUCUCAGCUCACUGCAACCUCUGCCUCCCAGGUUCAAGCAAUUUUCCUGCCUCAGCUUCCCGAGUAGCUGGGACUACAGGCGCACGCCACCACGCCUGGCUAAUUUUUGUAUUUUUUAGUAGAGACAGGGUUUCAUCAUAUUGGCCAGACUGGUCUCGAACUCUUGACCUUGUGAUCUGCCCACCUCAGCCUCCCAAAGUGCUGGGAUUACAGACGUGAGCCACCGUGCCCGGCCUAAUUUUUGUAUCUUUUAAAGUAGAGUCAGAGUUUCACCACGUUGGCCAGGCUGGUCUCAAACUCCUGACCUCAAGUGAUGCGCCCACCUCAGCCUCCUAAAGUGCUGGGAUUACAGGUGUGAGCCACUGCGCCCGGCCUAGAUAUUCAUUUCUACAACUCACUGAGCACCCACCCCGAUUCAGGACUUGGUACUGGGUAUCCAGGGAUGGGUAUGACCAGCUCUGCCCUCAAUAGCGGCUCAACACGGGGAGACCUUCAGGUUCUUGGAUAAACAAGCUCUGAUAAUCAUUCCCAAACAAGAGUUCAAAGAUGUUUUCAGCAAUAGCAAUGAUGUGGAUGGAAAGGAUGCCCUCCUGCACCGAUGCCUCUGGAGGACCACACUUUCCAUUCAGAGACACGCUCAGCACUCAACUCACGCUGCACACCGGGCCGACCCCAGUACCGACACUCACAGAAUGCAGGUUGGAGAGAGAUGCCGACUUCCGAGGAGGUGUCUUCUUCGGACUGAACGUAUUCCCAAAGAAAGGCAUCUUUGUCCUGAUGAAAGCAAAGCCAACGCUCCCUUCUCCUAGGGUCAGAAAAAGUCAGGGGUACAAGCAGCUGGAUCACUGACCUUAUGCCAUUGUCUUCAAAUCUUGAAGGCAUACAUUUUAUCAUGUGGCUACUAACGAUCCUGGUGCUAUGGUUUGAAUGCCCCCACCGAAACUCAUGUUGAAAUUGAAU
rnacentral:antisense_RNA from 1 species